rnacentral:rRNA from 1 species
GAUGAACGCUGGCGGCGUGCUUAACACAUGCAAGUCGAACGGAAAGGCCCAAGCUUGCUUGGGUACUCGAGUGGCGAACGGGUGAGUAACACGUGGGUGAUCUGCCCUGCACUUCGGGAUAAGCCUGGGAAACUGGGUCUAAUACCGGAUAGGACCACAUUUUGGAUGGUGUGGUGGAAAGUUUUUCGGUGUGGGAUGAGCUCGCGGCCUAUCAGCUUGUUGGUGGGAUAAUGGCCUACCAAGGCGUCGACGGGUAGCCGGCCUGAGAGGGUGUACGGCCACAUUGGGACUGAGAUACGGCCCAGACUCCUACGGGAGGCAGCAGUGGGGAAUAUUGCACAAUGGGCGCAAGCCUGAUGCAGCGACGCCGCGUGGGGGAUGACGGCCUUCGGGUUGUAAACUCCUUUCGCUAGGGACGAAGCGUUAUGUGACGGUACCUGGAGAAGAAGCACCGGCUAACUACGUG